rnacentral:rRNA from 1 species
UUAUACUGUGGGGGACGAAAGUCUCUGCUUUUAACUAGAUAGCAACUUUCAGCAGUGGAUGUCUAGGCUCGCACAUCGAUGAAGAACGCUGCGAACUGCGAUACGUAAUGCGAAUUGCAGGAUUCAGUGAGUCAUCGAAAUUUUGAACGCAUAUUGCACUUCCGGGUUAGUCCUGGGAGUAUGCCUGUAUCAGUGUCCGUACAUCAAACUUGGCUCCCUUCCUUCCGUGUAGUCGGUGGAUGGGGAUGCGCAGACGUGAAGUGUCUUGCGACUGGGCUUCGGCUCGGCUGCGAGUCCUUUGAAAUGUACAGAACUGUACUUCUCUUUGCUCGAAAAGCGUUAUAUUACUGGUUGUGGAGGCGUGCUUGUACUGGCAAGUCGGCGACCGGUUUGUUAGCUGCGGCGUUUAAUGGGGGAGUGUUCGAUUCGCGGUAUGAUCGGCUUCGGCUGGACAGACGCUUAUUGGAUGCUUUUCCUGCUGUGGCGGUACGAACUGGUGAACCGUAGCUGUAUUUAAGCUUGGCAUUUGAACCGGCGAUGUGGUGCGAAGUAGAGUGGCGGUUGUUCCGGCGCAAGCUGGAGUGGCUGUCGAGGGUCGAUCCAUUUGGGAAAUUUGUGUCAGUGCGACUUCGGUUGCGCUGGCAUCUCAAUUGGACCUGAUAUCAGGCAAGAUUACCCGCUGAACUUAAGCAUAUCAAAA